GGUGAGGUCCGAGUGGCUGAAGGAGCACGCCUGGAAAGUGUGUAUGUUUGGCAACGUAUCGGGGGUUCGAAUCCCCUCACUGCCA
rnacentral:tRNA from 1 species